AUUUCUUUUCUUUAUAUUUUUGUUGCUGUAUAUUUUUUGUUUGUCCGCUCUUCCCCUCGAGUCCUUUUACCGUAAACAAACGUUGUUUACAUUCAGUUCCUUCAAUAAAUUCAUGCUAAGCAUCAUGGUUAUGAAUAAGCUAAAGUAUCAAGAGGAUUUAAUUCCAGUGAUUAAUAAUACCUUCUAUGACGAAGGAUUACUUUUUACUACUCUGAAACGUAAAUGAAACACCUACAAACAAAUGGAACCCUUAAAUGCUCACCUUCAAGAGCCUAUCCUUUGUAUAAAGGAGAUAAAUCAACUCAACAAAUUCUAUGUCAUUGCUGGCAAUAUCUACAAUGAAGUUAUCUGCUAUAGGAUCGUUCAAUAUUCAGAUAAUUUUGAAUAUGAAUUUCAGAAAUUGCUCUCGUCUACAUCGGUUACAUGGGAAUAGGAAGCCUGCUGUCCCUAUUUUUGCGUCUAAGGCUCUUAGUUCUUACUCGAAUCUUUCAAUUUCAUCUCUGAGUCAGAAGCAUUUGGAAUCGAAUGCACGAGGACUAGGAAACGAUGGACUUUACUAGAAUACUGGCCUCUACUCUUAAUACAAAAAUCCUUUAAUAAGUUCCUCAAGCCCUUAAGAAUCUCUUGAUGUAAUGUUAACAAUAUCUUACUAAACCCUACUCUCCAAAAUUAAUUUGCCUUUAUAAGACAAUAAGACCCUCCCAUUCAAACUUGAACAGCAAGACUACAGUGAUUUAUAUUUUAUAAUAAUGUUAGAUAGGUAUUAUAAAUAUAAUAAAUGGUACUAUUCAAGCUUAAUAAAAAGUUACAUUUGUGGUUAAGUGAUAUGAAUAAAAAUGACUUUAUAACCUCGAUGGAAAUUGAAAUAUUAUUUCGGAAAUGGUGAUUUGAGAAACUUUUCCUGCAUUAUUGGACUGUGUGGACAAUUGGUUUUAUGUUCAUUAAAUGUUUCAACUAAAUAUUAUCUACAUAAGUUUUCAAAAAAUCUGAACCUUCAAGAAUAAUGGAGGUCUACUGUUCCAAAGGAAUAGAAAUCUGAAGGAAAAUCCCCAUACUUAUUAAAGCGAGUGGUAUUUUCUAUUCACUUUUUAUCAUCUGACCUUGAAACAGAGCCGCAAUGGAGUAAUAUUCACAUUAAAAAGAAGAAUUUAAACGAAAACAACUCUACCAUCGCUGCUUCUCUAAGGAGAAACAAUAAAAAGUCCUUGGACAACCGCUUUAUCCACGGCUGAAAAUGGAAGACACUUGCGAUUUAUUUUCUUUGGCAAAAACAUUCUUCUCUCCUAUAUCAAGAAUUAUGCAAAACAUUCCUUCCUAGUUUAUCCUAUUUAAUGCAAAUAUCCUCCUCCAUGCAAGUUACAACAGGAAUUUCGCUGUUAACAGAAAAUUACUUGAAGCAAAGAUUCAAGGAUUUGAACGAUAAUGAAAAGAUUCAACGAAGAUGGAGUAACUAAAACUCUCCUCUGCUUUAUGGUAAAUUCGAUUGCUGGUCAAUAUUAUGAUGUAGUUAUGAUGAACUUAUCAUAUAGAAGAAUGGUAUCUCAAAGUUUUAGAACUACUAACACGAAUAAGAUUUAAAGGUGGUGGGAUCAAUAUCAGAAAAAAAGUAUGGCUUGCCAGUUCGUAUGUUUUCGCUCUGAGUCACUGACAUUUUAGGGUCUGAUGUAUAAUAAACCUAGGCUUUACAGGGAUAGAUCUUGGAUAGAGAGUCAAGUAUAAAAGUCCUUUUAUUUCUUGGUCAAUAUAGAAAUAAGAUAAUAUAACGAUGUAAUGACUUAUUUAAAAAACAUAUUAGGGUCUUUUAUAUAAUGUAACUAGGAAUUAGAUGGAUAUAUUUUCGAUUGACAGUAAGGUUGUAGUCAUUUUAUUGUAUGCUCAUUUUAACGUCCAAUACUAGUUCAGUAUUUCCGGCCAUAUUAAUGAAAAAAAGAGUUUUUAUUGUUACAAAACUUGGUUGUUUAGGCCAGUGGCUCCCUUUUUUGAGUUUGGCCCUUAAAAUAUAAUGCUAGACAAUGUGCAGCCCCUACAUGAAGAGAUUAAUAUAAAAUUUGGAGUGUUUUUUUAUACAAAUAGAUGACCAUAUCAACCCAAAGGCAAAUAAUAUAUGUUAUUGGACUAUAUUGAUCAAAAUUAAUAGAUUUUAAUAAUAGAUAAAUAUUAAAAAAAUUAGAAAUACAACGACAUGAAAUCAGCAAUAUAUGUACUACUUGAAUUCAUUUAUAUACUAUCAAUUCUCUUUUUCGAGGUAAAUAGUCAAAAUUGAGACUCACUGACAGAUAACAUUACAGGCUGUGGAUAUGCAAAUAGUUUUAUAAACGAAUCAAGGUCUAAAUGUGACGUAUGCGUACUGUGCAUUGAGCAAAGCAAGUCUAUUCUCGGUUUAAUUUUGGACACGACAACUCGAAGAUUCUCUACAUUAGGCCAAGACCUAUAUUAUUUUUAUAUAAGUAAAUCUAAAACUGUUUUAGUUAGUACUGGGUGCUCAUUCUUUACAGAAAUUCAGAAUUUGUAAUGUGUUUUGAAUCAAAAUCUUUUUUUUAAUGUUUGGUCACAUGAAAGUUCGAUAACAGGAUCUUCCAUGUCAGAUGACCAAUGAUUAGCUGUGGGGGUAAAAGGGGUGUAUUGAGCUAUGUUUUUGUGAAGCACUAUCUUCUGAGAAAUACUUUUCUUUAAAUAAUCCAGAAGAUACUUAUAAAAAAUAUGUACAUUCA
rnacentral:lncRNA from 1 species